rnacentral:rRNA from 1 species
GACGAACGCUGGCGGCGUGCUUAACACAUGCAGGUCGAACGGAAAGGCCCUGCUUUUGUGGGGUGCUCGAGUGGCGAACGGGUGAGUAACACGUGAGUAACCUGCCCUUGACUUUGGGAUAACUUCAGGAAACUGGGGCUAAUACCGGAUAGGAGCUCCUGCUGCAUGGUGGGGGUUGGAAAGUUUCGGCGGUUGGGGAUGGACUCGCGGCUUAUCAGCUUGUUGGUGGGGUAGUGGCUUACCAAGGCUUUGACGGGUAGCCGGCCUGGGAGGGUGACCGGCCACAUUGGGACUGGGAUACGGCCCAGACUCCUACGGGAGGCAGCAGGGGGGAAUAUUGCACAAUGGGCGGAAGCCUGAUGCAGCAACGCCGCGUGCGGGAUGACGGCCUUCGGGUUGUAAACCGCUUUCGCCUGUGACGAAGCGUGAGUGACGGUAAUGGGUAAAGAAGCACCGGCUAACUACGUG